AUAGAAAUUCUUUUAAUCAGAAAAUCCUCAUGACAAUUUUUUUUUUUAUCAAUGAAACUGCAAAUACAGAGGUGUAUUUCAAUGUGGCCCAGAAAGAACUGAAAAAUAUGGGCUGUAAAAAUUGUGAAUUUAUAUGGAACUCAUCUCUUAUUGGAUGAACACUGCUAUUGUUUUUCUUCAACUACAUCCUAACAGCAUCAUCAGAGCGUUAAGAUCCUUGUAUUUUUGUAAGGUUACUCAAGAUUUUUUAAAAGUGGCUCCAGACAAGGAAUGAUGAAGUAUGCUUUGGUUAUGCUAACAAAUAGUGAGCUUGUUUUUUGGCAAUAUGUAUAUAUAGUCCAUAUAACUUUUUUUUAAAGCUAAAUGAAUUUGAAUUUGAAAAAUUAUUAUACAUGAUUUUUGUGAUAACUUAAAAUAUCUAGUCCCCAACUUUCUUAACUGUCUGUCAAAAUAAAUGAGAGCAUUUUAUUUCAUAUCUUUAUUUUAUUUUACUGAUUUAAUAAAAAAUCUAAUAUAUUUAAUAUAUUCAAAGAAGUUGCCACACAUAAACAUAUAUGCUAAAUAAAUAACUGUAAAAAGGUGAUGGUUGCAUGGUUAUGUAAUUAGUAGUAUUAAUUUAGUUUUAUCAACAUAGUUAUAUAUAUUCUGGUUUAAGAUGGGUCAUAUUACCAUUAAAAGGGGGGAUGGCUUACAGCCUAUUUUAAUAUGGGGAAAUUAAAAUAAAUCACUAAUUCAGACGAAGAUCUUUCUCAUGGUGUAUUCUGCUUGACCAUCAACAUUGAAAAAGGUAUACCUUCUCUCAUUGUACUUUAAAGAAACUAAAUAGUUGUUUUGAAUAUAUGGCCAGGGGCAGAUCCAUUCAUUUUAAAAAGGUGGGGUUCCUAGUUCCUAACCCAGGACCAAGAGGGGGGUUCCAACUACAUAUCCCCAUUCAAAUGCAUUGAUCGUCAAAAAAAGGAUCAUCUAUUUACAUGAGGUCACCCCCCUUGAUCUGCCACUGUGGCCUAUUUCACAAUGCUUAGGUAUAAAUGAAAAUUACAUGAGGUCACCCCCCUGGAUCUGCCACUGUGGCCUAUUUUCACAAUGCUUAGGUAUAAAUGAAAAUGCUUAGGUAUAAAUGAAAAUUACAUGAGGUCACUCCCCUGGAUCUGCCUGCCACUGUGGCCUAUUUUCACAAUGCUUAGGUAUAAAUGAAAUUUAAAAUAUUUGAUUCAAAAUAAAUUAUUAUGCCACAGAUCUAGAUGUAAUGGUGAUCUGCAUCAAUACACAGAAGUUUUAAAAUUAUUAUUUUUUCCCCAUCUUUUUAACAAUGCAUGAUAACAC
rnacentral:lncRNA from 1 species